rnacentral:rRNA from 1 species
UCAAAAAGAGACCGUACUCCAAACCGACACAGGUGAUCAGGUAGAGAAUACCAAGGCGCUUGAGAGAACUCGGGUGAAGGAACUAGGCAAAAUGGCACCGUAACUUCGGGAGAAGGUGCACCGCUUUUGGUGAUGGGAUUUACUCCCUAAGCUGAGGGCGGUCGAAGAUACCAGGCCCCUGCAACUGUUUAUUAAAAACACAGCACUCUGCAAACACGUAAGUGGACGUAUAGGGUGUGACGCCUGCCCGGUGCCGGAAGGUUAAUUGAUGGGGUUAGCGCAAGCGAAGCUCUUGAUCGAAGCCCCGGUAAACGGCGGCCGUAACAAUAACGGUCCUAAGGUAGCGAAAUUCCUUGUCGGGUAAGUUCCGACCUGCACGAAUGGCGUAAUGAUGGGGGCGCUGUCUCCACCCGAGACUCAGUGAAAUUGAAAUCGCGGUUAAGAUGCCGUGUACCCGCGGCUAGACGGAAAGACCCCGUGAACCUUUACUAUAGCUUUGCACUGAACUUUGAACCUAUCUGUGUAGGAUAGGUGGGAGGCUUUGAAGUCGAGACGCUAGUUUCGAUGGAGCCGUCCUUGAAAUACCACCCUGGUAUGUUUGAGGUUCUAACGUCGGCCCCUUAUCGGGGUUACGGACAGUGUAUGGUGGGUAGUUUGACUGGGGCGGUCUCCUCCCAAAGAGUAACGGAGGAGCACGAAGGUGUGCUAAUCAUGGUCGGAAAUCAUGAGGUUAGUGUAAAGGCAAAAGCACGCUUGACUGCGAGACAGACAUGUCGAGCAGGUACGAAAGUAGGUCUUAGUGAUCCGGUGGUUCUGUAUGGAAGGGCCACCGCUCAACGGAUAAAAGGUACUCCGGGGAUAACAGGCUGAUACCGCCCAAGAGUUCACAUCGACGGCGGUGUUUGGCACCUCGAUGUCGGCUCAUCACAUCCUGGGGCUGAAGCCGGUCCCAAGGGUAUGGCUGUUCGCCAUUUAAAGUGGUACGCGAGCUGGGUUUAGAACGUCGUGAGACAGUUCGGUCCCUAUCUGCCGUGGGCGUUGGAGAUUUGAGAAGAGUUGUUCCUAGUACGAGAGGACCGGAAUGAACGAACCUCUGGUGUUCGGGUUGUCAUGCCAAUGGCAUUGCCCGGUAGCUACGUUCGGACGGGAUAACCGCUGAAAGCAUCUAAGCGGGAAGCCUCCUUCAAGAUGAGAUCUCCCUGGGACUUUAAGUCCCCUAAAGAGCCGUUGAAGACUACGACGUUGAUAGGUUGGGUGUGGAAGCGCAGCGAUGCGUUGAGCUAACCAAUACUAAUUGCUCGUGCGGCUUGACC